rnacentral:RNase_P_RNA from 1 species
AUAAGCUUAGGGGCCGUGUAAACGGCUACGGCGGCCAAACGCGCUAAGGCGUCAGCUAUGCGCUAGUAGGUCUGAAAAGUGCCACAGUGACGAAACGAUCAGGGAAACCUGAGCGGUGGAACGGGUAAACCCCGCGAGCGAGUAACCCAAACUUUUGGUAGGGGCGUUUUGCCAAGCAAAUUGAAGCGACGGCAAUACAGCGGUAACGCUGAGAUAGAUGAUGACUGAAGGAGCUUGUGCCUGAACAAGUUCUGGAACAAAACAUGGCUUAUAGGG